GACAGGAUUACUCCUCCUUCCUCUUGGCUCCGGGGAUCUUCGCCUGGAUCCUGGACAGAAAGAUUCGGUGCGUCGUUUUCAGGAAAAAGCUUGAGGAAGUCACCGAAAGUCGUCUUGAUCAGAAGAAUGAGGAGUUAAAGUCUGACGCAGGAGGCAGAACCAGAGCGGCCUGCCUGAAGACGCGAGGAGCACAAAAGGGCGACUUUUUACGCUGGAACAAAACUUCAAGCAGAGGUCGAUAACGCAGCCGAGAGAUUCAGGUGCUCUGCUGCAUCGAUUCAACAAAACAG